GAUGAAGAACGUAGCGAAAUGCGACAAGUAAUGUGAAUUGCAGAAUUCCGUGAAUCAUCGAAUCUUUGAACGCACAUUGCGCCCUCUGGUAUUCUGGAGGGCAUGCCUGUCCGAGCGUCAUUUCAACCCUCAUGCCCCUAGGGCGUGGUGUUGGGGAUCGGCCAAAGCCCGCGAGGGACGGCCGGCCCCUAAAUCUAGUGGCGGACCCGUCGUGGCCUCCUCUGCGAAGUAGUGAUAUUCCGCAUCGGAGAGCGAUGAGCCCCUGCCGUUAAACCCCCAACUUUCCAAGGUUGACCUCAGAUCAGGUAGGAAUACCCGCUGAACUUAAGCAUAUCAAUAAGCGGAGGA
rnacentral:misc_RNA from 1 species